GCAGCCGCAACGGCGGGCCGCCGUCCCUCGAGAUCGUCCAUGGAGGUCCGACCCGGCUACAGCCAUGGACUGAGACGCCCGAAUCCCUAGCUACCCGUGGAGGUCCGACGCCUCAACCUCCAAGGAAAGGACGCGCGCCGGCUGCAGGCCAUCUCCGGCGACCUCCGACCAUGGUUGCUCGGAUCUGGACCAGCUGCUGCUCCAACUGCUUCAGGUGGACGAGGACGAGCCCUCCCUCAUUGCUGCUGCGGCUGCCUACUCCCUCCUCCUACCCCCUGGCCUGGUGUGAGUGGUGGAGUUAAUGAGCCGGGAUGAAGUUCGAGAAGUUGCAUUACACCGUGUAAAUAUUAAUGAGCUGUGGAAGACAAGUGCACCAGUAAGUGUUUGAAAUUCUAAGUGUGUUGGUGGAGGUGGAAGGGGGGAUUGUGAGUUGGAUAUGUCAUUAACAGAGGUGGUGAAUUUGGAUUGGUCAUGCAGAUAUAGUUGUUAGAGAAAUAAGAAGAUGAUGUAGAGUGAUUUAUGGGUAAGUAAUAUAGCGAAUAGAUUUGCACGGGAAGUCAAGUAUAUGCCGAGACUCGAGCAGGUUCAUUGUUAUUGUUGUUCUUGCGUGUCAAAGCUUUUGGCUAGAUCUGUAGGUAUAC